GACGGAGGGUGCAAGCGUUGUUCGGAAUUACUGGGCGUAAAGGGCGCGUAGGCGGUCUGCUAAGUUCGGUGUGAAAUCCCCGGGCUCAACCCGGGAACUGCGUCCGAUACUGGCAGGCUUGAAUCCGGGAGAGGGAUGCGGAAUUCCAGGUGUAGCGGUGAAAUGCGUAGAUAUCUGGAGGAACACCGGUGGCGAAGGCGGCAUCCUGGACCGGCAUUGACGCUGAGGCGCGAAAGCCAGGGGAGCAAACGGG
rnacentral:rRNA from 1 species